UAAACAUUUUAAACAACCUAGCUUCUUAUUUAGUCAUAUAUUAGUUUUUCAUUAGCAUACCAAAUAACAAGCAGGCAGGUAUUAUAUUUAUAAUAAUUUUGAAGCAUUUAUAGGUAUGGGUGGCAUUUCAAGUCUCUUUUUUAUUUUAUUUUUUUAAUCUGUAUGUACACGGGUGUUUUGCCUGCAUACAUGUCAGUGUACCACAUGUGUGUAGGACUGCUCCAACAUCAAGUUUCUAUAAAUGUUCAACUAGCCCGUCCAGCUACCCCUGUUCAGAUUAAACAAUACCCAAUGACUCUGGAAACAAAAAGGGAAACUGCAGUCAUAUUGUCUGGCUUGGAAAGACAGACAUCCCGGUGCCCUCCCAGUCACCCUGGAAUAUGCCUCUCCUGCCUAUGAAGAAACCUGGGACCACUGGUUCUCAUGAGUCUGACUCUUCCAGAGAAACAUGUGUACACCAUCUUGGAUCUGAAAAAUGCAUUCUUCAGCCUCCCAUCGGCAGAGGAAUAGGACUUGUCAUCUCUCAUGAAUCUUCUGGAGGCUACAACAACUACCACUGUCCAGACAAAACAUCUGGCUGGAAACUUUCGAGACAAACUUGAUCAGGCAAUGAGUCAUUUCAAAGACAGAUGCGCUCUCUGGCUGGGGUCGUGCUCCCAAACAGAAGAACACUAGACCUAAUAACUGCUGAUCAUAGGGGGACUGGCUUGGUAUUGGGGAACAAAUGUCGCUUCUAUGUAAACAAAUGUGAAAACUAAUGUCAACACCCCCCCCAAAACUCCACAAAGACCUACUCUCAAAAUUCCAGCCCAUAGAGCAAAGUAGCUGCUUCCAUGAUCCCUUAUUUUCUUGGCUCCUACCCCUUUUCAGUCCUCUUAUUAUGCUGUUUUGUUUUGAUGCUUGCCCCUGCCUUAUUCAGUUCCUCCGGUGACAGAUCGCCAUCAUUGCUAAAAUUACCACCAGUCAGGUCCUGGUUCAUUACCAGGCCCAGAACCUUCUUGACACAGGCACCAGGUUCCUCAAGGCUUAUGAUGACACCUCUCUAUUAUAAAACAAAACGGGGGGAGAUGUCGGAAGGUCCUGCUGAUGAGAGGUUGCAGUCUGCCAUAGCCUGGCAGCUUUCUCUAACCUCAGCAACAUGGAGGACUCCCUCUCCUCCACAAAAGCUUCCUGUCCUCUAACCAGCCUUAUCUGGAGGAUGUCUCUAGGCCCAGGAUGCUUGACUUAUCUCAAGGGUGACCUUUGACAGAGAUACCUACAAACUCUCUUCCCUUGAUGACCCACAUGGUCAGUAGGCAAGAGCUCUAGCCAUUUGGAUAGGACCCUACUGCCACAUACCAGGCCUUGUGAUAGAAGCAUGCCACUUACUGCAAAUUAGGGUUUGUUCCCAGGUUCCCCAAUCCUGUAUAUUCCUUAUUCAGUGGGAAUAAAGCAGAGCUGAUUCACCAAA